AUUGAACGCUGGCGGCAUGCCUUACACAUGCAAGUCGAACGGCAGCACGGGUGCUUACACCUGGUGGCGAGUGGCGAACGGGUGAGUAAUACAUCGGAACAUGUCCUGUAGUGGGGGAUAGCCCGGCGAAAGCCGGAUUAAUACCGCAUACGAUCUACGGAUGAAAGCGGGGGACCUUCGGGCCUCGCGCUAUCGGGUUGGCCGAUGGCUGAUUAGCUAGUUGGUGGGGUAAAGGCCUACCAAGGCGACGAUCAGUAGCUGGUCUGAGAGGACGACCAGCCACACUGGGACUGAGACACGGCCCAGACUCCUACGGGAGGCAGCAGUGGGGAAUUUUGGACAAUGGGCGAAAGCCUGAUCCAGCAAUGCCGCGUGUGUGAAGAAGGCCUUCGGGUUGUAAAGCACUUUUGUCCGGAAAGAAAUCCUUGGCCCUAAGACGGUCGGGGGAUGACGGUACCGGAAGAAUAAGCACCGGCUAACUACGU
rnacentral:rRNA from 1 species